rnacentral:rRNA from 1 species
CUUGCUUCUUUGCUGACGAGUGGCGGACGGGUGAGUAAUGUCUGGGAAACUGCCUGAUGGAGGGGGAUAACUACUGGAAACGGUAGCUAAUACCGCAUAACGUCGCAAGACCAAAGAGGGGGACCUUCGGGCCUCUUGCCAUCGGAUGUGCCCAGAUGGGAUUAGCUAGUAGGUGGGGUAACGGCUCACCUAGGCGACGAUCCCUAGCUGGUCUGAGAGGAUGACCAGCCACACUGGAACUGAGACACGGUCCAGACUCCUACGGGAGGCAGCAGUGGGGAAUAUUGCACAAUGGGCGCAAGCCUGAUGCAGCCAUGCCGCGUGUAUGAAGAAGGCCUUCGGGUUGUAAAGUACUUUCAGCGGGGAGGAAGGGAGUAAAGUUAAUACCUUUGCUCAUUGACGUUACCCGCAGAAGAAGCACCGGCUAACUCCGUGCCAGCAGCCGCGGUAAUACGGAGGGUGCAAGCGUUAAUCGGAAUUACUGGGCGUAAAGCGCACGCAGGCGGUUUGUUAAGUCAGA